AGCUAGUGCGGAUCCAAAAUCCAUUUCUGCAAACAAAUCAGUGCAACUUAUCAAGAGUGUCACAAAAUGGUUUACGAAGGAUGGGAUCCUUGUCGAGGGCCUAUUUUGGAGGGAUGUGGAGAGACUGAUGGAUGACUACAAUGGAGAGAGGAAGAACAAGUGAGUUGAAUCCUAAAACUAGACUUCAAAAACGGCCGGUUUUUCUGGGUUCCGAUUGCUGGGGCUGAUUUAGUACAAAUGCUUUGAUUUUGAGAACCAAAUAUAUAACAAUCCCUCUACAUUCAAAAACUGGAAAUUAGAAUCUUGCAGGGGCUUUCUUCUGAGUUAUGUGGCGUCAGAAUAGUAAACUUUCUUCAUUUAUGAGUUCUGUUUACUCUUUUCUUCAUUUA